AACAAGUCAGUUUGCCUUUGUUGUUGCCAGAUCGUAGUUUGUGCUGCUGCCUGCUUUGUUCCUGCCUGAUUAGGCUAGCUAGGCGCCCUCAGUUAUCUCCCUGCAGGUCACCAGCAGCAGAGCCAGCUCCAAGCCCCUUGGUUCCCAAGCCCAUGCAGGUUGACCGGACCCGGUUGUCUCCAGUGGAACGGUGAUGACGCAUUGCCACAGGUUCCUGCCUUUACUGUGCCCAGCCAGUAGAAAGGGAGUUACUGGUGAGCGUCCUCCCCUUCUCUGAAUCUUCCGUUAAACGUUCUCUGCUAACCGCUACUCUACAGUGGAGAGAUCAGCGACUGGAGGGUGCCGUGCUGCAUGUGAGGCGGGUCCUGCAACGCCUACUGGAGAAUCAGCUGUACGUGAAAGCUGAGAAGUAAGAUUUUCACCAGGACACUGUGUCUUUCUUGGGGUUUGUAGUUUCUGCUGGGAGGUUGGAGAUGGACUCUUCCAAGGUCGAGGCGGUACUGGAGUGGCCCCAACCCACCACCCGGAAGGAGCUCCAAAGAUUCCUGGGAUUUCUUAACUUCUAUAGGAGGUUCAUACGCAGUUAUAUUUCUGUUGCUGCUCCACUAACUGCUCUUACCUCUCCCAAGGUUACCUUUUCCUGGUCGGCUGCUGCAGAGGAGGCUUUCAGUAAGCUUAAGAAAGCCUUCACUUCUGCUCCCAUCCUCAUCACACCUGAUCCUCAGCUCCAAUUUGUGGUUGAGGUGUGGUGAUGUGGGAGUGGGGGCCGUCCUGUCUCAGCGCUCCCCCAAUGAUAAUAAGCUGCACCCCUGUGCUUUCUUCUCUCACCGUCUGUCUUCCACACAGAGAAACUAUGACAUCGGCAAUCGGGAGCUGUUGGCGGUCAAGAUGGAAUUGGAGGAGUGGAGACACUGGUUUGAGGGGGCGGAGAAACCAUUCUUGGUUUGGACGGACCACAUGAACCUGGAGUAUAUUAAGACAGCGAAGCGUCUGAACUCCAGGCAGGCUAGGUGGGCACUUUUCUUCUCAUGUUUCAACUUCACCCUCUCCUACCGUCCAGGUUCCAGAAAUGUUAAGCCUGAUGCCGGUUCGUCAAGGAGGGGGAACCCUCCAAAUCGGACACUAUCCUGCCCAGCCAGUGUCUCGUCGCUACUGCCCGGUUUUCAUUCGAGCAAAAGGUUCUGGAGGCCCUCCGUCAGCAUCCGUCCCCAGUUAAUGAACCUAGGGGGACUCUUUUUGUUCCUGUGUCUGUUCGCUCUCAGGUUCUCCAGUGGGCUCAUGCGUCCAAACUCGCCUGCCACCCGGGGGUCCAACGCACCUUGGGUAGUCUCCGCCAGAGGUUUUGGUGGCCCCACAUGCAAAAGGACGUGUUGGAGUGCCCCUGAGCAAGGCACCAAACCCCCCCCCCCCACCACCACCAGUCCAGGAACACCCGCCGUGGGCAGCCCCGUCACCCUGACAU